UACGAAGGGGGCUAGCGUUGCUCGGAAUCACUGGGCGUAAAGCGCACGUAGGCGGAUUCCUAAGUCGGUGGUGAAAUCCUGGAGCUCAACUCCAGAACUGCCUCCGAUACUGAGAGUCUUCGAGUCCGGGAGAGGUGAGUGGAACUGCGAGUGUAGAGGUGAAAUUCGUAGAUAUUCGCAAGAACACCGGUGGCGAAGGCGGCAUCCUGGACCGGUAUUGACGCUGAGGCGCGAAAGCCAGGGGAGCAAACGGG
rnacentral:rRNA from 1 species